AUGCUGUGAUAGGGAAAUUUUCUUAGCAACUCCUCAAACCUUUCCCAAGAGUCAUACAAAGAUUCACCAUCCAGCUGAUAAAAAUUAUUAAUCUUCUCUCUCAAUUU